UCUCCGUAGGUGAACCUGCGGAGGGAUCAUUACUGAGUGAGGGUCUCCGGGCCCGACCUCCAACCCCAUGUGAACCGAAACCUGUUGCUUCGGGGGCGACCCUGCCUUUCGGCGCGGCGCCCCCGGAGGUCUUCUAAACACUGCAUCUUUGCGUCGGAGUUUAAAACAAAUUAAACAAAACUUUCAACAACGGAUCUCUUGGUUCUGGCAUCGAUGAAGAACGCAGC
rnacentral:misc_RNA from 1 species